rnacentral:rRNA from 1 species
UACAGAGGGGGCAAGCGUUGCUCGGAAUUACUGGGCGUAAAGGGCGCGUAGGCGGCCUUCUAAGUCGAAGGUGAAAUCCCCGGGCUCAACCCCGGAACUGCGUCCGAUACUGGAAGGCUUGAAUCCGGGAGAGGGAUGCGGAAUUCCAGGUGUAGCGGUGAAAUGCGUAGAUAUCUGGAGGAACACCGGUGGCGAAGGCGGCAUCCUGGACCGGCAUUGACGCUGAGGCGCGAAAGCCAGGGGAGCAAGCGGG